rnacentral:rRNA from 1 species
CACUCCUGCGGGAGGCAGCAGUGGGGAAUUUUGGACAAUGGGCGAAAGCCUGAUCCAGCAAUGCCGCGUGAGUGAAGAAGGCCUUCGGGUUGUAAAGCUCUUUUGUCAGGGAAGAAACGGUGAGAGCUAAUAUCUUUUGCUAAUGACGGUACCUGAAGAAUAAGCACCGGCUAACUACGUGCCAGCAGCCGCGGUAAUACGUAGGGUGCAAGCGUUAAUCGGAAUUACUGGGCGUAAAGCGUGCGCAGGCGGUUUUGUAAGUCUGAUGUGAAAUCCCCGGGCUCAACCUGGGAAUUGCAUUGGAGACUGCAAGGCUAGAAUCUGGCAGAGGGGGGUAGAAUUCCACGUGUAGUAGUGAAAUGCGUAGAUAUGUGGAGGAACACCGAUGGCGAAGGCAGCCCCCUGGGUCAAGAUUGACGCUCAUGCACGAAAGCGUGGGGAGCAAACAGGAUUAGAUACCCCAGUAGUCCCAUG